rnacentral:rRNA from 1 species
UGGGGAAUUUUGCACAAUGGGGGAAACCCUGAAGCAGCGACGCCGCGUGAUUUAGAAGGCCUUCGGGUUGUAAAAAUCUUUUUUACGGGAUGAAAAUGACAGUACCGUAAGAAUAAGGUCCGGCUAAAUACGUGCCAGCAGCCGCGGUAAUACGUAUGGACCGAGCGUUGUCCGGAAUCAUUGGGCGUAAAGGGUACGUAGGCGGCCUAGUAAGUUAGAAGUGAAAUAAUAUAGCUCAACUAUAUAAAGCUUUUAAAACUGCUAGGCUUGAGAGAUGGAAGGGAAAGUGGAAUUCCUAGUGUAGCGGUGAAAUGCGCAGAUAUUAGGAAGAAUACCGGUGGCGAAGGCGACUUUCUGGUCAUCAUCUGACGCUGAGGUACGAAAGCGUGGGUAGCAAACAGG